CCACUAUGCCUAGCCGUAAAAAAUUAAUUCACAAUAAUAAGCGCCAGGGAAUUACGAGCGCAAGCUUAAAACCCAAAGGAUUUGACGGUGUCCCACCCACCUAGAGGAGCCUGUUCUAUAAUCGAUAAUCCUCGAUAUACCCCACCACUUCUCGCCUACUCAGCCUGUAUACCUCCGUCGUAAGCUUACCACCUAAGUGUAAAAAAGUAAGUUUAAGGAUCACCCACCUACACGUCAGGUCAAGGUGCAGCCAAUGAAGUGGAAAGCAAUGGGCUACAAUCUCUAUAAUAGAACACACGAAAAACUACAUGAAACAAUAGUCAUGAAGGCGGAUUUAGUAGUAAAAGAAGAAUAGAGUGCUUCUUUUAACAAGGCUCUGGGACGUGUACAAACCGCCCGUCACCCUCUUCAAUAGCACACUUUUGAUCACUAACCCUUAAAGCAUUUUUAGAAGAGGCAAGUCGUAACAUGGUAAGUGUACUGGAAAGUGCACUUGGCAAAUCAAAAUGUAGCUUAACCAAAGCCUCUCGCUUACACCGAAAAAAUAUCUGUUAAACUCGGAUCAUUUUGAG
rnacentral:rRNA from 1 species